GACAGAGGGUGCAAACGUUGUUCGGAAUUACUGGGCGUAAAGCGCGUGUAGGCUGCUCCGCAAGUCGGAUGUGAAAGCCCUGGGCUCAACCUAGGAAGUGCAUUCGAUACUGCAGAGCUUGAGUCCUGGAGAGGAAGGCGGAAUUCUCGGUGUAGAGGUGAAAUUCGUAGAUAUCGAGAGGAACACCAGUGGCGAAGGCGGGUCUCUGGACAGUUCCUGACGCUGAGGCACGAAGGCCAGGGGAGCAAACGGG
rnacentral:rRNA from 1 species